CUACGGGUUGCACCAGGCGCGAAACCUUUACAAUGCACGAAAGUGUGAUAAGGGAACUCUAAGUGCUCAUGUUCUACAUGGGCUUUUGCCAAGAGUAAAAAUCUUGGCGAAUAAGUGGUGGGCAGAGACUGGUGCCAGCAGCCGCGGUAACACCAGCGCCACGAGUGGGGAUCAUAUUUAUUGGGCCUAAAGCGUUCGUAGCUGGUUGCGUGAAUCUUUUGUGAAAUCGUUAGGCUUAACUUAACGGCAUGCAGAAGACACUGCGUAACUUGGGACCAGGAGGAGUUAGCAGUAUGGUAGGGGGAGCGGUAAAAUGCUAUAAUCCCUACUAGACUACCUGUGGCGAAGGCGGCUAACUAGAAUGGAUCCGACAGCGAGGGACGAAGGCCAGGGGAGCGAACCGGAUUAGAUACCCGUGUAGUC
rnacentral:rRNA from 1 species